AUUGAACGCUGGCGGCAGGCCUAACACAUGCAAGUCGAGCGGAUGAAGGGAGCUUGCUCCUGGAUUCAGCGGCGGACGGGUGAGUAAUGCCUAGGAAUCUGCCUGGUAGUGGGGGAUAACGUCCGGAAACGGGCGCUAAUACCGCAUACGUCCUGAGGGAGAAAGUGGGGGAUCUUCGGACCUCACGCUAUCAGAUGAGCCUAGGUCGGAUUAGCUAGUUGGUGGGGUAAAGGCCUACCAAGGCGACGAUCCGUAACUGGUCUGAGUGGAUGAUCAGUCGCACUGGAACUGAGACACGGUCCAGACUCCUACGGGAGGCAGCAGUGGGGAAUAUUGGACAAUGGGCGAAAGCCUGAUCCAGCCAUGCCGCGUGUGUGAAGAAGGUCUUCGGAUUGUAAAGCACUUUAAGUUGGGAGGAAGGGCAGUAAGUUAAUACCUUGCUGUUUUGACGUUACCAACAGAAUAAGCACCGGCUAACUUCGUG
rnacentral:rRNA from 1 species